UACGUAGGGGGCAAGCGUUGUCCGGAUUUAUUGGGCGUAAAGAGCUCGUAGGCGGUUCCGUAAGUCGAGUGUGAAAAAUCUGGGCUCAACCCAGUGGAGCACUCGAUACUGCGGUGACUGGAGUACGGUAGAGGAGUGUGGAAUUCCUGGUGUAGCGGUGAAAUGCGCAGAUAUCAGGAGGAACACCGAUGGCGAAGGCAGGUCUCUGGGCAUUAACUGACGCUGAGGAGCGAAAGCAUGGGGAGCGAACAGG
rnacentral:rRNA from 1 species